rnacentral:rRNA from 1 species
ACUCUGAUGCAGCGAUGCCGCGUGAGUGAAGAAGGCCUUUGGGUUGUAAAGCUCUUUCGUCGGGGAAGAAAAUGACUGUACCCGAAUAAGAAGGUCCGGCUAACUUCGUGCCAGCAGCCGCGGUAAUACGAAGGGACCUAGCGUAGUUCGGAAUUACUGGGCUUAAAGAGUUCGUAGGUGGUUGAAAAAGUUGGUGGUGAAAUCCCAGAGCUUAACUCUGGAACUGCCAUCAAAACUUUUCAGCUAGAGUUUGAUAGAGGAAAGCAGAAUUUCUAGUGUAGAGGUGAAAUUCGUAGAUAUUAGAAAGAAUACCAAUUGCGAAGGCAGCUUUCUGGAUCAUUACUGACACUGAGGAACGAAAGCAUGGGUAGCGAAGAGGAUUAGAUACCCUCGUAGUCCAUGCCGUAAACGAUGUGUGUUAGACGUUGGAAAUUUAUUUUCAGUGUCGCAGCGAAAGCGAUAAACACACCGCCUGGGGAGUACGACCGCAAGGUUAAAACUCAAAUGAAUUGACGGGGACCCGCACAAGUAGUGGAGCAUGUGGUUUAAUUCGAAGAUACGCGCAGAACCUUACCAACACUUGACAUGUUCGUCGCGACUUUAAGAGAUUAAAGUUUUCGGUUCGGCCGGACGAAACACAGGUGCUGCAUGGCUGUCGUCAGCUCGUGUCGUGAGAUGUUGGGUUAAGUCCCGCAACGAGCGCAACCCUCACUUUUAGUUGCCAUCAUUAAGUUGGGCACUCUGAAAGAACUGCCAGUGAUAAGCUGGAGGAAGGUGGGGAUGACGUCAAGUCCUCAUGGCCCUUACGUGUUGGGCUACACACGUGCUACAAUGGUAUUUACAACAGGAAGCAAGACGGCGACGUCAAGCAAAUCCUUAAAAAAUACCUCAGUUCGGAUUGCACUCUGCAACUCGAGUGCAUGAAGCUGGAAUUACUAGUAAUCGUGGAUCAGCGUGCCACGGUGAAUGCGUUCCCGGGUCUUGUACACACCGCCCGUCACACCAUGGGAGUUGGUUCUACCUUAAGGCAAGGUUUUAAACCCUUGACCACGGUAUAGUCAGCGACUGGGGUGAAGUCGUAACAAGGUAGCCGUAGGGGAACCUGCGGCUG